rnacentral:rRNA from 1 species
CCUACGGGAGGCAGCAGUGAGGAAGAUUGGUCAAUGGACGAGAGUCUGAACCAGCCAAGUAGCGUGAAGGAUGACUGCCCUAUGGGUUGUAAACUUCUUUUAUAAAGGAAUAAAGUGAGGCACGUGUGCCUUUUUGUAUGUACGUUAUGAAUAAGGAUCGGCUAACUCCGUGCCAGCAGCCGCGGUAAUACGGAGGAUCCGAGCGUUAGCCGGAGUUAUUGGGUUUAAAGGGAGCGUAGAGGGGUUGUUAAGUCAGUUGUGAAAGUUUGCGGCUCAACCGUAAAAUUGCUAUUGAUACUGGCAGUCUUGCGUACAGUUGCGGUAGGCGGACUUCGUGGUGUAGCGGU